rnacentral:rRNA from 1 species
GACGUAGGAGGCGAGCGUUAUCCGGAUUCACUGGGCGUAAAGCGCGUGUAGGCGGCUUGCCAAGUCGGUUGUGAAAUCCCUGGGCUCAACCUGGGAAUUGCAGUCGAUACUGGGAAGCUCGAGUUCGGUAGAGGACGGCGGAAUUCCCGGUGUAGCGGUGAAAUGCGUAGAUAUCGGGAGGAACAUCAGUGGCGAAGGCGGCUACCUGGCCCAAUACUGACACUCAGGUGCGACAGCGUGGGGAGCAAACAGG